CGGGGCUUAAAGUCUUGUAAUUGGAAUGAUGGGAAUUUAAACCUCUUCCAGAGUAUCAAUUGGAGGGCAAGUCUGGUGCCAGCAGCCGCGGUAAUUCCAGCUCCAAUAGCGUAUAUUAAAAUUGUUGCAGUUAAAAAGCUCGUAGUUGAAUUUCUGCUGCAUUGCUUGUGUCCCUCUGGGGUCUGUGCAUGUGGCUUUUUUUGGACGGAGUUUCUUUGUCUGAAUGUUUACUUUGAGAAAAUUAGAGUGCUCAAAGCAGGCUUUCGCCUUGAAUAGUUUAGCAUGGAAUAAUAAAGUAGGACUUUGGUUCUAUUUUGUUGGUUUUAGGUACCAAAGUAAUGGUUAAUAGGAACAGUUGGGGGCAUUCGUAUUUAACUGUCAGAGGUGAAAUUCUUAGAUUUGUUAAAGACGAACUACUGCGAAAGCAUUUGCCAAGGAUGUUUUCAUUAAUCAAGAAC
rnacentral:rRNA from 1 species